rnacentral:rRNA from 1 species
UGGGGAAUCUUGGACAAUGGGCGCAAGCCUGAUCCAGCCAUGCCGCGUGAGUGAAGAAGGCCUUCGGGUUGUAAAGCUCUUUUGUCAGGGACGAUAAUGACGGUACCUGAAGAAUAAGCCCCGGCAAACUUCGUGCCAGCAGCCGCGGUAAUACGAAGGGGGCUAGCGUUGUUCGGAAUUACUGGGCGUAAAGCGCACGUAGGCUGAUUGUUAAGUCAGGGGUGAAAUCCCAGAGCUCAACUCUGGAACUGCCCUUGAUACUGGCAAUCUAGAGUCCGGAAGAGGUUAGUGGAAUUCCCAGUGUAGAGGUGAAAUUCGUAGAUAUUGGGAAGAACACCAGUGGCGAAGGCGGCUAACUGGUCCGGUACUGACGCUGAGGCGCGAGAGCAAGGGGAGCAAACAGGAUUAGAUACCCCGGUAGUCCCUGAGCGGGCUGGCAAGGCGCAU